CCGCGAAUGUAAAUAAAAUUGAUAAUUUGAUAACAAGAGCAAGAUACCCGAGCCAUGGCAGUAACUCGGAUUUUAACGAAGUUUUUAGUUAUUAAACCAAGUAUUGUUAACUCUAGUUUGAUAAUUAGCAAACAGUCAUUCAGUGUUCUUUCUAAAUGUGCUUGUGACUCGUAUUGGACCCAAGCAUCUCGUCCAAAGGAUGCCACCCUCAGGAGUUCAAAUUCACUAGGAAAGCACCCCAGAAAUCAGUUCCACACAUCAAAAUCCCUCCUGGGGAAGGAUUACUAUGAUAUCCUUGGAAUUCCGAGGAAUGCCAGCCCCCAAGAAGUAAAAAAAGCAUACUAUCAAUUGGCAAAAAAAUAUCAUCCGGACCAGAAUAAAACUGAUCCUAACGCAAGUAAGAAGUUCCAAGAAGUCUCAGAGGCUUACGAAGUUUUGAGUGAUGAUACAAAAAGGAAGCAAUAUGACUCAUGGGGUCAGACCUCAGAAGAAAUGGAUAGACAAGGGCGCUCAUCUCCGGGGAGCCAAGGACCAGGGAGACAGGGAUCCUACCAAACUUACGGUGAAUGGCAGUUUCACUCAUCCAUAGAUCCGGAAGAAUUAUUUCGGAAAAUCUUUGGUGAUAGAGGUCCUUUCUCUGUAUCAGAGGAAGAUUUUUCUCGGUCACAUUUUGGUUUUGGUCCUGCUCAAGAGAUCAUACUAAAGCUAUCUUUCGUUCAAGCUGCUAGAGGCUGUACAAGAGAAGUGAAAGUGAAUGUAGUUGACCCCUGUCCCAGGUGUAAAGGAAGCAAGUGUGAAUUAGGAUACAAACCCAUGAUGUGCCCUUAUUGUGAUGGCACUGGGACUGUGACGAUGAGCAAAGGUCCAUUCGUUAUACGACAAACAUGUGGGCAUUGCCAAGGCAGCCGUGUCUUCAUCGGGCUCAAAUGUGUCGAAUGUGCGGGCAAAGGCAAAGUUGUAGCAAAAAGGAUUGUUAAAAUACCUGUACCACCCGGUGUGGCAGAUGGCCAGACAGUACGAAUGUCAGUGAAUGACAACGAAUUAUUCAUAACAUUUAAAGUUGACCCAUCCGCAUAUUUCCGGCGAGAAAGAGCAAAUGUGUUUACAGAUGCAGAAAUAUCCAUAUCUCAGGCAGUCCUCGGCGGCACAAUACGAAUCGAAGGAAUUUAUGAAGACCACACAAUAUUUAUAAAACCUGGGACCUCUUCACAUCAGAGUAUCAUAUUACCAAACAAGGGUCUGAAAAAAAUUGAUGCCAUAGGCUACGGUGACCAUACGGUGCAAAUAAAAAUCAAAGCACCAGGGUCUUUAACGGAAAAACAAAAGGCGCUGAUACAAGCAUACGCAGAGCUGGAAGAAGAUACUCCAGGUCAUGUGCAAGGCGUUGAUGCCACCAAAGGUAAAGAAGAAAAAAGUAUGGCUGGUGAAGAUAAAGAGUCCAAGAGCUUGUUACAGAGGAUAAAGAACUCUCUUUUCGGCUAAUUGUUAACAGAAUAAUACUAGUCUUUAGUUUUAAAAUUUUACCCAAGAUCAAAAUGGAAGAAUAUUACGGAACCACAGGAGACUUUUUACAUUCAGGCAAUUCUCAGAGCAAUGCGUUGAUGUUACAAAAAUCACUGAAUGUCAGGUUUUUUGAAAAAAAACUUUUUAAAAAAAGGAAAAAGUUUUUUUCGCAGCAAAACUUUGCAAUCCCUCCAAUGUUUUUGAAAAGAUAAAACGUUUAAAGAUGCAUCAAAAAUAAAGUUAGGAAUGCAUUAAAAAAAAUUAGUUUUCAGUGAUUUUAGUAGAAGAGUAGAUCUCCACAGAGCUCAUAUAUUAUGGCAUUUUUUGUGUCAAAUAUUUUGGUUUCUUAAUGUAUGUAUGUAGUUAUGUACACCUCCCUAAUCUAUAAUGAACCAGGAAAGCUAUCAAGCUUAACUAUUAAGAUCUAGACUAUUUGAUUUGGCUGUGAUGUUAUGCAUAGAUUUCUUAGUAGUUAAAAGUAACCACGUCUAUUUUAAAGUUAACUUUCUUGUAUAAUCAUAUCUUCAUCUGAAAAGAAAACUCUUCUUUAAAAUUCACCAAAAGAAUUUUUUCUUUUGUGUCCUAAGCCCAGUGUGAACUCUAAUCCAACAAAAGCGAGCAAAAAGUUUAAUGGAAUGUUUGACACAGGAACAUUUUAUUCAAUAGGUAACCAUUGCCAUGCGAUAUCCACAUAACAACCAAUUUUCGGCGCUAAGUGGAUUGAAGAUGAAGUUGAUGUCUGAUUCAAGUUUCCAUUCUGUGGAUGGAAGAUGAAGUUGAUGUCUGAUGUAAGUUUCCGUUCUACUUUUAAUCCAACUGUCAUGUUCUCUUGUCAUUAUUGCAUGGUCCAGCUUUCCAUCUUAUAUAAAUUGAACAAAAAUUUUGACCGUUUAAAUUGGACUCUAAAAUAAUUUUAUUCUACGGUUUCUCGGUGCAAGGUUUCGUAAAGUGGGCAUUAUUCUGUCUGUCUGAAUAGUUCCAUGAAUGUGUGUUUUUAAAAUAUACGGUUUGUUCUUCUCUGUUUCAAAAACCCUAUUUUUGCUUUUUGCAAGGAGGAAGGAUUUGCAAAAGAGUAUUUUUCCCUCUUUCCAAAUUCAAAAACUUGUACAUUCAUUUCCAUCUGCAUUUCAUUUCAACAGUGAAGCCUUCCAAACUAAGUAUCUCGUUUGCAUUAUUUUAAAAAUACCGCUCCCAUUUUAUUUCUUUGAAGGAGAACAAAUCAACAUCAUUUCUUGAUGUUUUCACAGAAUUUUCUUCUCGCAAAGAGAAGAAAUCUUGGAAGUUUUCAAGCAUUGACGUUGUGUAGUUUUCUAUUAAACAAAUGAAGUAUUACAGGAAGUCUUCAACGUCGCAAACAGAGGUAUGUGGUUUGGAAAUUUCACCGCUGAUGUAGAAAAAUGUGUUGCCCAUUUGACUGGUCAUGAAUUUCACCUCUAGCAUUUGUAGAUAAUUCAGCAAAACAGUCACAUCUACAUGGCAUUGUUUCAAAUUCUCAUCUCCUGUCUUGAUUUUUCUGAUAAUUUCAUGAAAAUAUCUUUCAAAUGGGCAAGAAAAAUUACAAAAUUUGUCGAGUGGGGAUGUUGGUUGGUUUCCUUCCAAAAAAUUAAUGUAGGAGAUGAGAUUUUGAAACCCUGCAAUGUAGGCAUGACUGCUUGCGUAACCAUAUCCAUUUAUGAAUCGCAGAACCUAUAGCAGUAAUAUGCUUGAGUAUCUUUCAGUCUCAGAAGAUCUGAAUUUCAUCUCUGAAAUUCAGUUGGAGAAAUCCUUGUAAAUUCCAGCCUCAUGCCCAAAAAAAUACAAGGAAUACCUAGGUAUGUGAGAAAUUAGUAAAAGUACGACACAGAAAUUAAGAAAACUUUAUUGAUUGUGAAAUGUCGCAGUAAUUUUAAAAAUCAAUUCUUCUGAUUAAUGAAAAAAUAUUUUGACUCCUCCAGAGGCAAGAAGAUUAUUCUUGCCAAGAUUAUUAACUAAUCGCCUUUUUGAGAAGAACACCAAGAGAGAUCUAGUGUAAAAUAAGUGUCUAGAGUGAUCUCUUUAAAUCUCUUUUGCAAACUGUACACUUUUUCUUCUUAAAUUUUGUUACCAUCAACCGGUGUUAGUAUUAUCUGUUCUUUACAUCAAUGUUUAUUUCAAAUCAUGAUGUCUUUUGUAAUUACUGUAAAAUCUGUUAUUGCCUAGAUAGCAACAAAACUGGAAAUUGUUGAAUUUUGUAAAUACCUAAUUUUUCAAAAUAAAGAAGUCAAGUUUUCUUUAA